rnacentral:rRNA from 1 species
UACGAACUGUGCAAACGUUAUUCGGAAUCACUGGGCUUGAAGAGUGCGUAGGCGGUUUCGUAAGUAGGGUGUGAAAGCCCCCAGCUCAACUGGGGAACUGCGUCCUAAACUGCGAGGCUGGAGUGAGGUAGGGGUGUGUGGAACUUCCGGUGGAGCGGUGAAAUGUGUUGAUAUCGGAAGGAACGCCGGUGGCGAAAGCGACACACUGGGCCUUGUCUGACGCUGAGGCACGAAAGCGUGGGGAGCGAACAGG